UGAGAGCCAAAACUCGUUCACAGACCAGUUCAUACUGCGGAGCUAAGCAAGCCGCGGCAUUUUCGCUCAGUGCGAAAGAACGGCGACUGCGGAGGUGAAAGUCGGUGGUCCUCGACUCAAGUCAGACCCACCAGGGAGGUAGGCUGAAAGAGGAGGUUGCUUUGGCCGCCUCUCACUCUCCCUCACCGUCCCAGUGCCGUGCGAAACCCGCUACGGUUGUCUGCUGACUUAAGACUUUCCAGAGAGCCGUCCCCUAUAUAUGGCGCAGGGCACCUUUGCUAGUCCUUACGCUUAAACUGCUCAACCGCGGAGGCGAGAAAAAACGGCUUUGGCCGAGGGCGUGCGUCGGCCUCCUGUCUCCCUUACGGCUAGAAAAGAUUUAUUGCUAAAAAGAAAAAGGAGAGUCGAAAUACGAGUUGUCACCGACCAGAAACGGUGACAGCAUUUAUAGAAUGACUAUUAAAAGUCAGCGAGUGUCAAUAAUGUUAAUGUGGUUAUGUUAGUAAUACAACGAGUGCUAAUAUAACAGCUUUAAGAUGCAUUUAACGAUAUUAUUACGCGUUUUACCGUCUUUAUAGUGCUAGCUUAAAGUUAGGGUGUAAACGUGUUAGAUUUGUGUUCUCAUGAGUAAAUAUAUUAAUUUAUCUUGUGUUGUAAAAGACGUUUUCUGAUUGUCAUUUUAUUUUGGAAAUGAUUUUAUUUUGGUGAUCAUAGAGGACUUCACUUCCUGUUCCUUGUUGUUGUGAAGCGCGAACUGCCAAAAAUGGAUGUAUGUUUUUCCCUCCUGUGUUGCGGACAAUAAAAGAAACGGGAAAAGUAAUCAAUCAACCAAGUGUGUGCAUUAUUAAGAGAACAUGGCCGAAGAAGAAGAAAACUCUUCGAGCUCAACAGGUUAUGGGCCCAGGCGUGACACAACAGGAGGAAGAUGGCAGAGGUUAGUGUUCAACGGAGACGAAAACAGUUACGAACUCUGGGAGGCAAAGUUUCUCGGCCACAUGCGGAUCAUUGGUCUAAAGGACACUAUAUUAUCAGCCACUAACCCAGAUGCAGAGAAGAAUGCUGAAUGCUACGCUGAACUGAUUCAGUUUCUUGAUGAUAAAAGCCUUUCACUGGUAAUGAGAGAUGCGACUGACGACGGAAGAAAAGCUUUAAAAAUACUACGUGACCACUACGAUAGUAAAGGCAAGCCCAGAAUCAUCGCACUGUACACAGAGCUGACGUCUUUACAGAAGAAACCAGAUGAGACAGUGACAGAUUAUAUUAUCCGAGCUGAAAAAGCAGUGACCUCCCUAAGAAAUGCAAAAGAAGUCAUCAGUGAUGGACUUAUUAUCGCUAUGAUUUUAAAGGGGCUUCCUGAAGCUUACAAGCCAUUUGCUAUUCACACAACUCAAAGCAGUGAAGAUUUAACAUUCACACAGUUCAAAAGCAACCUACGAAGUUAUGAGGAAACCGAGAAAUUCGACAACAAAGUAAAAACAGAUAAUGUGAUGAAGGUUGAUUUAACCUCCAUCACCUGUCAUGGAUGCGGAAACCGAGGACAUUUUGUAAAAGAUUGUCGCCAAAAGGGAACACCUAAGUGGUGUAGCUACCAUAGAAGCUCGACACACAGUGAUGAGACAUGUAGAAGAAAAACCAAGUACAGAGAUGAUGCAAAACUAACUGUAGGAAAACAAGAGGACAAGAAAGAAGAGCAGACUUUUGUAUUUAAAGUUAGUCAAAGACUUCUGCCUACUGACAUAAUAAGAGAAGGACUAAUGGUGGACUGUGGUGCUACUUCACACAUCAUUACAGAGAAGAACAAGUUCAUAAAGUUUGAUGAGACUUUUGAUCCAGAGAAACACUACAUGGAGCUUGCUGAUGGAUCCAGGACAAAUAACGUCGCACUCAAGAGGGGAGAUGCCAACGUCUCUCUACGGGACGUACAAGGACACUGUACCACCAUCACACUGAGAGAUGCUCUGUUCAUCCCAUCCUACCCUCAGAGCAUAUUUUCAGUGAAGGCAGCUACAACCUAUGGAGCACAGGUGGUCUUCAAGAAGGGACAGAAUGAACUAGUGAACAAAGAUGGGACAGUCUUCUCCAUUGAAGAAUACAACAGACUCUACUAUUUGAAAACGAGCAACCUGUGGAAUCCCCCAAACCUAUAAAGAGGCACUGAUGUCACCAGAGGCACCAAGGUGGAAACAGGCAAUGGCAGAAGAAAUCAACUCUCUGAAAGAGAAUGACACAUUCGAACUGACUACUUUACCUACUGGUAGAAAUACCAUUGGAGGAAAAUGGGUCUACGCCCUCAAAGAAAAUGAACAAGGACAAAUAUUCAAAGCCAGGUUUGUAGCAAAAGGUUACAACCAAACACAAGGAAUAGACUACCAAGAGACAUUUGCACCAACAGCAAACAUGACAUUUGUGCGAACCCUAAUGCAAAUAUCAGUCCAGAAUGAUCUUAUUAUCCACCAAAUGGAUGUUAAAACUGCAUAUUUGCAUUCUCCCAUUGAGGAAGAAAUAUACAUGGACCAACCAGAAGGUUUUGAGCAAACAGAGUCAGGAGAAAAUUUGGUGUACAAAUUAAAGAAAUCCCUUUACGGGUUAAAACAAUCAGGGAGAAACUGGUACAAACUCUUGAAUGACUACCUUGAACAAAAUGACUUUGAAAGAAACCUUUCUGAUCACUGUGUAUACAGGAAAGACAUUGACCAUGAAACUCUACUGGUUAUCAUCUGGGUAGAUGACUUGAUCAUUGCGGCUAGCAAUAAUAACUUGUUAAACACAUUCAAAGAAACAAUGAGGUCAAAGUUUAACAUGAAAGACCUGGGGAAAAUAUCCAGUUUUCUUGGUAUCCAGUUUAUACAAAAAGAGGCUGAAAUCAGGAUGAAUCAGAAGAGAUACAUUCAAAGAAUGUUGGAACGCUUUGGGAUGUCAGAAUGCAAACCCAGAUCCACACCGUGUGAACUAAAAACGGACACUACUACAUGUGGAGGAAGUGAUGCAAAUGAGACAGUUAACUCAAGAGAGUACAGAGAAAUAGUGGGCAGUCUGAUAUAUGCCAUGACGUGUACGAGACCAGAUAUAAGCUGGGUUGUUAGCAGACUAUCUCAAACACUAGCUCAACCCACGAGAGAGGACUUAGUAACGGCAAAACAAGUCCUCAGAUACCUAAAAGGCACAAAUGACUUUGAACUCAUCUUUAAGAAAAGCAGUGAGGAUCUAGAUCUAAUUGCUUACAGUGACUCUGACUGGGCAUCCUCUGUAAAAGACAGACGCAGUACAGUAUCAUCAGAAUCCAACUAUUUUUAGACAUUGAAUUUAUAACACUGAAUUUUUAUCCUCCAAAUUUCCCUGCAAAAAAUAUUCACCUGCAAAAAUUCACCUGCAAAAAAUUCACCUGCAAAAAUUCACCUGCAAAAAAUUCACCUGCAAAAAUUCACCUUUUCACCUUUUAAUGCACCUUUUCAAAUUAAUUCACUACGUUUCGUGCCUAACGGAGUUAUUUUUACACAUUCCACCACCUUUCAUUGUUUACCGUUACAACCCCCCCCCCAAGAAAAAACAUCGGCCCAUAAAAACGAAAAAUCACCAUCGACCCACCGGGCAAAUGCCGACGGCCAGUCCAGGUAUGGUCAUGCCAUCAGUUAACCCUUCGCGUGCCAGCUGUGCCACGCGUGCCCAGGGUUGCCGACCCCUGCUGUAAAUGAUCAGUACAGUACGUGAUAUUAAGGGCAAGCGGUCAACACUGGGGAAGAAAAGAAGCAGAAGUCCUUCCAAGAAGGAGCUGCAGUGAGGACACAGUCUGGUCACUGAGGAUGAGAACAUCAAAAUGACCAAAGUAGCUGAGCAGAUUUCAUCUCAACAGACAAAGCUGAUGGCAGAAGAAGUCGGAGAAGAGCUUUAGGCCGUGGACUGAAAAGGUAUCAAAAGACAUUUGGAGUGACGGCUUCUACAACUCAGUUUUUGGUUGUGCUGAAGUAAAGCUUACAGUCUAGGUCACAGUAUUGAUAUUCAACAAAGAAAAGCUCACUUGUUUGAAUUUAUUUACAAUCAUAGUUUUUAUAAAUUCUGACUCUAAACAGCUUUUACAUCUUUGAUAUUGUUUGACACUAGAUAUCAGGUGAUGGGAUUUAAUUUAAUGUCCCAAUGAGCCAUUUACACUGACAAAGGUCAGUUGAACUGUAACACAUUCAUUAUUUAGAUCCAACAUUUCUAAGAGAAAUAACUGAAUGUAAAAAAUGGCAGCCCUCAGGCCAGGUUUAAUUGAUAGAGAUAUCUGCAUGCAUUAUGAAAUUUAUGUAUCCCAGAUAAUUGUUAUUCAUCUAGUCAUGGCAGACCCACACCUUCCUCCCAAGUUAACUGCAGCCCAAAAUAAGUAGUGGCGAUAUUUACACACUCACAACCAGUGUGGUGUAAAAAGAGCAACCAAAAACCUAUCAGCCUGCACAGCCACAGAUGUGCUAGAAGCUCGAAAAGCUAGAAGCUCUGCUUAUGGAGAAACUCAUGGAGAAACUUUCUAAGCCUAACAGGGGACAGGUACUCCUGCCCAAAUAACAUGAUAUAACCGCACAUACAGCCCAGCCAUAAAGUGAACCAAGUCAUUUAGUUAAAGACAGUGUUUGGGUUAAUGUAUGUGUUGUAGGUUGCCAUUUUAAAAGCUACACAUUCAAAAGCUAGAAUGAUUUUGUUUGCUCCCUAUGUAACCCACGCAUGUGAGUACGUGCACAUAGGGAGGAAGAGCAGCCUUGAGAAGAACAAACUGGACUCAGUGAAGGGAGUCACCUGGUGUGAUAAGGAUAGCAACAGCAUCCUGGGAGGGCUGUACUCACAUCGUAUAACCACGCUUGCACAACACACCAGCACACGCAGACAGUUAAUCUUUGUUCACAUAUAUACCUGUUUAAGAUGUCACAUGUUAAUGAGACUAUGUAUAUUCAUGUGUGCAGCCUGCAGGGGGAAGUGGGUUGGAGACAACUGCUUCCCUCUCGCAAGUGAAAACUUGAGCUCCGUGUGACCUCGUUCCUGAGUGAGAUUCUGUUUAUCCAGCAGUAUCAGGGGUAAAACUCUGACAACAGCAUGGGACCAAAUGCAUCUAACCAGCCUGCACCAACCUGAUAUUUCUUCCUCCUGAAUUAAAUGAAUGGAUGGAUGAAAGUUAAAUGACUACAAACCUAAAGCCACUAGUUCCCACACUGGAGUUUCCUGACACUGUGUGUUUAAUUGUACUGAGCUUGUAUCAACACUUGUAACAGGCUAAGCUACCCGAGACACUGCAUUGAAUUAUUGUUUCUAUCUUAAUGAUUUCAGCUGACUGGUUUUAGCUCAGAUGUUCCGCUUUUUCCUUUCAGUAGAUCAAAAUAACUUGUGCUCUUUCUGCUUCUAAUUUGAUGGCAAGAAGAAAAAGAAGAAUGCUUCAGCAAAGUGGUGUUCAUGGUCUCAGUGAGCAGUGUGCCGAUCAUGGUCACACACUGCAUGUGGUUCAAAAAGCAACAUGUCUGUUCACCACAACAAUCAAAAAGUUUGAAAUAUGUAUUGUUGUGAGAUGUGUAAUAUUAGUGCAUGCUACGGUUUGUUAUUGAACAUUGUUCAGUUGUGUUUUCUACUUAGACCACUUAGAUCAAAAAAAGUGUUGGUUUCAGAUUCUUUCUUUUUAAAUUUAUAAAGCACCUGUUCAUUUUUUUAAUAAAAUUAGUUUGACAUAAAUUUUAGUGUUUCCUUUAUAAUCUUUUAAUGCUUACACUACACUGUAAACAUCUACAUUAGAGACAUUUCUGUUACCUAUUUAUGAGACUGGGCUGCUUGACUACAAUUUGGAAGUGGAUGCAAAAUCACAUGGAGCGUGCUCUCGUUUCUUUUUUAAUAUGAUGGACUGAACACAGGAGGUAUCCGCUUUUGACUAAGCACAGAUUAAUCUGAUCCCAUUUCUACCUGUCUGUACUAUUUGAAGAUUUCACUGAAGUUUGCUCAACUGUAAUUGUCAGGAUAUAUAUUUUUUCCAGCUCUCAAAGGGCAAAGGAAUGACUCAGACUUAUCAAAUGUUCUUUGAUUAGAUACACAAUGUGAAGUUCAUAAUUUUUUGCAAAUAAAACUAUAUGACAAACAUGAA